AUUGAACGCUGGCGGCAGGCCUAACACAUGCAAGUCGAGCGGAGCGGCGGACGGGUGAGUAAUGCCUAGGACUCUGCAUGGUAGUGGGGGAUAACGUCAGGAAACGGGCGCUAAUACUGCAUACUCUCAGAUGAGCCUAGGCCGGAGUAGCUAGUUGGGGGGGUAAAGGCCUACCAAGGCGACGAUCCGUAACUGGUCUGAGUGGCUGAUCAGUCACACUGGAACUGAGACAAGGUGCAGACUCCUACGGGAGGAAGCGGUGGGGAAUAUUGGAAAAUGGGCGAAAGCCUGAUCCAGCCAUGCCGCGUGUGUGAAGAAGGUCUUCGGAGUGUAAAGCACUUUAAGUUGGGAGGCGUUACUAACAGAAGAAGCACCGGCUAACUUCGUGCCAGCAGCCGCGGUAAUAC
rnacentral:rRNA from 1 species